UACAGAGGAGCCAAGCGUUGUCCGGAUUGACUGGGCGUAAAGCGCGCGCAGGCGGUGGCGUGAGCCCGGCGUGAAAAGCCCCCCAGCUCAACUGGGGGGAGGCCGUCGGAGACCGCGGCACUUGAGGCCGGUAGGGGAGAGCGGAAUUCCCGGUGUAGUGGUGGAAUGCGUAGAUAUCGGGGAAGAACACCGGUGGCGAG
rnacentral:rRNA from 1 species